GGGUGCGAUCAUACUAGCGUUAAUGCACCGGAUCCCAUCCGAAUUCCACAGUUAAGCGCGCUUGGGCUAGAGUAGUACUGGGAUGGGUGACCUCCCAGGAAGUUCUAGUGUUACACCCU
rnacentral:rRNA from 1 species